rnacentral:miRNA from 15 species
CGGGGCUCUCCUAGGUCUGGGC